GCAUAACGCGAAGAACCUUACCUAGGCUUGACAUGCAUCUCUAAGCGCGUGAAAGCGCGUGACCCUUCGGGGGAGUUGCACAGGUGCUGCAUGGCCGUCGUCAGCUCGUGUCGUGAGAUGUUGGGUUAAGUCCGCAACGAGCGCAACCCUUGUGAACAGUUGCCAGCACUUAAGGUGGGAACUCUGUUCAGACUGCCCAGAUCAACUGGGAGGAAGGUGGGGACGACGUCAGGUCAGUAUGGCCCUUACGCCUAGGGCUGCACACGUACUACAAUGCCCAGCACAAUGAGAACCGAGACCGCGAGGUGGAGGAAAUCUAAAAACUGGGCCCAGUUCGGAUUGGAGGCUGCAACUCGCCUCCAUGAAGUUGGAAUCGCUAGUAAUGGCGCAUCAGCAUGCCGCGGUGAAUACGUUCCCGGGUCUUGUACACACCG
rnacentral:rRNA from 1 species